UACGAAGGGGGCUAGCGUUGCUCGGAAUUACUGGGCGUAAAGCGCACGUAGGCGGAUCUUUAAGUCAGGGGUGAAAUCCUGGAGCUCAACUCCAGAACUGCCUUUGAUACUGAGGACCUUGAGUUCGGGAGGGGUGAGUGGAACUGCGAGUGUAGAGGUGAAAUUCGUAGAUAUUCGCAAGAACACCAGUGGCGAAGGCGGCUCACUGGCCCGAUACUGACGCUGAGGUGCGAAAGCGUGGGGAGCAAACAGG
rnacentral:rRNA from 1 species